UACGGGGGGAGCAAGCGUUGUUCGGAUUUACUGGGCGUAAAGGGCGCGUAGGCGGCAUGACAAGUCACUUGUGAAAUCUCCGGGCUUAACUCGGAACGGCCAAGUGAUACUGUCAAGCUAGAGUGCAGAAAGGGCAAUCGGAAUUCUUGGUGUAGCGGUGAAAUGCGUAGAUAUCAAGAGGAACACCUGAGGCGAAGGCGGGUUGCUAGGCUGACACUGACGCUGAAGCGCGAAAGCCAGGGGAGCAAACGGG
rnacentral:rRNA from 1 species